CCAGCAUCUGAGGUCUCUGACGGCUGGGACUUCUCAGUGCCCCAAAGCCCCUUCCUUUGUUUCAGAGCUUUGACAUCAAUAUCUGGCUUUGAGUGGCACAAAGGGAUAAAGGAAUGUGGAUUCAGAGUGCACUGGGAUGCUUGGCAAUUCUAACUCGACUCCAGACUGCAAAUCAACACAGAGCUGUUGCAACUUUUGUUGAAGAGAAGGCUGAGUCUCUUUAGUAUAAAGAGUCUCUUUCCUGAAAUUGCUUGGGACAGCACAGAAGCUGGAUUGAGAAAACCGAAGUCGCGGUUGCAGGCUUCCGCCAGGCCUGAUGCAGGGAAAGACUGCCAUCUUGUGGUCAUCUUGGAACACGGCACCUCGGUUCCGGAGGAGGCUGCAGAGAGCCAGGACAUGAGAAAUGAGCCUUGGAGCUUAAUUUCUGAAGGACAGUGAGGAUGUCUUUUAAAAACAUCCAGAAAAUAGCUGAGUGCCCUCCAAGGUAGGUUUCAGUGAAUCUUUUGCACUUACACCGUCAUUCCCUGAGCGAGACACUAAAGGCCCACAACACUUGCUGCAUGAAAAUGGGGUAAAAAUGUAGAGAAAUCAUAAUCCCCAGUGAAAAUAAAGAAACACACAUCUA